rnacentral:tRNA from 1 species
GGUAAAAUGGCUGAGGGCUAGGCGAUAAAUUGUAAAUUUAUAAACGAGUGUUAAAAUUCUUUUACCA